AUUGAACGCUGGCGGCAUGCUUUACACAUGCAAGUCGAACGGUAACAGGCCGCAAGGUGCUGACGAGUGGCGAACGGGUGAGUAAUGCAUCGGAACGUGCCCAGUCGGGGGGGAUAACGCAGCGAAAGCUGUGCUAAUACCGCAUACGAUCUAUGGAUGAAAGCGGGGGACCGUAAGGCCUCGCGCGAUUGGAACGGCCGAUGUCAGAUUAGGUAGUUGGUGGGGUAAAGGCUCACCAAGCCAACGAUCUGUAGCUGGUCUGAGAGGACGACCAGCCACACUGGGACUGAGACACGGCCCAGACUCCCACGGGAGGCAGCAGUGGGGAAUUUUGGACAAUGGGCGCAAGCCUGAUCCAGCAAUGCCGCGUGCAGGAAGAAGGCCUUCGGGUUGUAAACUGCUUUUGUACGGAACGAAAAGGUUUGGUUUAAUACCCUGGGCCGAUGACGGUACCGUAAGAAUAAGCACCGGCUAACUACGUGCCAGCCGCCGCGGUAA
rnacentral:rRNA from 1 species